CUCGGGGAGGAUAACUGCCAUUUCAGUGUGUUCCACUGAGCCCCACUGCCAUCUGAAGUCCAGUCAAGCCAAGGAGGGAAAGCCAGGACUUGUAGAGAAAUGACAGUCCCUUGCUGCUGCAUUUAAUUGGAGAGGAGCACAGAGACCCGAGAUUAUAAUUAUGACGUCUUAAAUGUCAAGCUCUUCAAAAGUCUGCCAUUGCCCUCGCUGUCACCCUGUAAAGCUCUGGGAACCAAAACCCUGCAGCCCCCCCAAAGCGUGCCCUGGGUCUCUCAGCCAGGUUUCACCUGGGAAAUCUGAGUGACAGUGAUGUGCAGGCAGCUGGAAGACACACAGUAAACCGAGGAGCCUGUGAUGAGCUCAGAAGAGCCCAGCACCUGUCACCCAAAAUAGCUGUUGUUUAUUUUCCUUGGUAAGUAACAUCUUGGCUCUCAGGCCAAAGCCUUCUUGGAGGCCCCAACAUCUCACCCUAGGUGGAAAUGUGCUGGAGGUCUCUUCGUUUCCUGCAGCUGAGACUACAUGUAAAGGGACAAACCAGGACAACAAGACACAACCAACUAAGCCAGGAGCCAGAUCAUCUGGAUUCAAAUUCUGUCUUUACAUUGCCAGCCACAUGGCUUCAGGCAAAUUGCUGUCUGGGACUCAGUUUCCUCAGUUGUUAAAUGGGCAUAAUAACAGAAUCCACUCACUGGAUUGUGGUGAAACUUAAAUGACGUAUUUGAGGCACAAGUGUUGGCCCAUUGGAAGGGCUCAAUCAUGGAAGCUGCUGCCCCUGCGGAGGUGGUUCUACUACUAGAUUUUGGCCCCAAUACUGACACUCUUUGGUUCAUAGUCUGUAGCACAGAGGCUUCUCAUGAAAGACCCUCUACCAAUUACCAGCACAUAAUGUCUCAGGCUGCCCAGCAUGAUAACCUUCAUUCCUGGGCAGCCUGGCCCUUUGUUUGACCUGCCUGCCUCUGCCUUUGCCUAGGAAACAAGUAUCUGUCCCUCAAGGCUGGGCCUUGCCUGGGGUUGACCACCCUGACUCUUCUGUUCUCCUAAGUCCUGGGGGUAGCCUCCACUUCCAAUGGAGGACUUCACCCAAGGGUCCCGAGUGCUAACCAGAGGUCUGUAGGCAGUAAGCUGCCCACCACAGGAGGGCCUGAUUUUGACUGGCAGAGGGGCCCAAUUUACCUACUAACUGGGCAGACAGCACGAACUGCUGAUUCAUGGGCACGCAUGAGGCCUGAGUUGUUUGUAUAUUCUCUCAUCUCCAGCUGUCGGCCAAAACAUAAUUGUAGUUGUCACUUUGGCAGAGAGAUGUUGUGAUGUGUCCUAAUACAACUAACUGCCUCUGCUCCACAGCAGUGAGCUUUUGGGAGGUGGGGGAGGAUCUGCAGCUGCUCACAGGAAGAGAACCAUUCUGGAAAGUGGUCUGCGUGAUGUUCAUUCAGGUGCAGUCCCAGGGGCUGUGUGAUCACCAGGGUAAGGUCCUGCGUUAGAACGAACAUGGGUUUGGCCCACAUCUGCAUCUGUGGAAAUGCAUUUUGGAUGGCAUCAGUUAAUAAGAAAGAGGCAGCCAUUGAAAUGAGGUAUUUUUGGCAACUAUAAAGAUUUGGAAAACAGCCUGCAGACCAUGUAUGAGUUGGACUCCUGGUGUGUGGGGUGAAGGGGUAGGUACACAGCAGUGUAUAGAUGGUACCACAGACAUAGCAAGGAUCAGGUUGAGAAGCAAGGAAACUGAAGGCCAGACCAUGCAGUGUGGAUUGCAUCCUGGACACAGUGGGGAGCCCCUGAAGGCCUUCAGGGAGAGAGUGAAAUAGAAAGGUCUGGGCUCAAACAUCCCUGAGGAAUGGCACUAGGGUAAGGCUCUGCCUUCCCAUGACAGUUGAUAAGAGGUGACUUGCAGCUUGAUAAGAUGUUCUUGUCCCCCUAGGGUACCAGUCUCAUGAUUUGGGAGGUGACUGAGGCUCUGUGCUUGGUGAGCCAAAAUCAGUCCUUGUCAGGCCAGCUGAGAUUGAUGGUGAGCCAGGGGAACCCCCAGGCCAAUGUCUUCCCUCUUUUCUGACCUCCUUGGUCAGGAGUUCAUGAAUGAAACACCUGUGUGCAGAUGUGCCAAAUGCAGAGGCUUACACACACUCAGGCCAGAGGUGGAGGAGGCUGUUGGGGCUGAGACAUAGAUAGACCCCCAGCCAUCUCUCUCUAUCUGCUCCCCACUAAGAAAACAGCAGAGACAAACAUUCAAGUUUGCUUGAUGGAGGAAUUCCUAGAAGGAAGUUUCUACCCUUGCAUUGUGAAGUAAAUGCUGUUUUAUAGGUAUUUAGUGGAAAUCAAAGAAUAUGAAGUGUUGGGAGCCAUUACCAAUAAUGAUCCACCCAUGAACACGGAAGUCAGAGCAUAUCUGGACUAUCAUGUAAGUCAGGAGGAAGAUACAAUUCAGUUGACAAAAAUUUUGUGUAGUUCCUCGGAAGUACACUGUUGUGCAAGAAAUGGUUUGGCAGUGAUUCUCCUGUUUCAGUUGCAAGCCAUUGAGGACAGAUGCCUCUCAAGUUGCCAGGGGAGGAGGGGCAGGUGAAACGGAUGUUCCUGCUCUGGCAGGAUCUUCCAUGGAGUGUUCCCGGAGUUGGGCUGCCAGGGGGCAGGUGCAGGAAGUCCUGUCACCUGAACACUUCCAGAUGCAAGAUGAGUGUAGUUGGUGCCUGGAAUCCUUUGCCUGUGGUAAAGUGUGAACCUCUUCCCUGAGGGCAGCAGCAUGUCACAAGGAUGUCAUAACCACCCUGGCUGCUCACAGCUGCUUUGUAGCAAUAUGCCAAGAUGUAGUUUUGACUGUUUGUUUUACUGUUUCCUUUGAAAUUUACAAAAUUUUGUCAUAAUAUGUAUUGGGUUUUUUUUUUAAUUAUAAAAUAAAACAUAUAGUCAUAAAAGUCCAAACAAUUGAACAGACAAUUUAACAAAUAAUUAAAGCUGGGCACUGUG